rnacentral:rRNA from 1 species
UACGUAGGCAGCAAGCGUUGUUCGGAGUUACUGGGCGUAAAGGGUGCGUAGGCGGCCGUGUAAGUGUGGUGUGAAAUCUCCCGGCUUAACUGGGAGGGUGCGCUACAGACUGCAUGGCUAGAGUGUGGGAGAGGAAAGUGGAAUUCCGGGUGUAGCGGUGGAAUGCGUAGAGAUCCGGAAGAACACCGGUGGCGAAGGCGGCCUGCUGGGCUAUGGCUGACACUGAGGCGCGACAGCGUGGGGAGCAAACGGG